UACGUAGGCAGCGAGCGUUGUUCGGAGUUACUGGGCGUAAAGGGUGUGUAGGCGGUUGUUUAAGUUUGGUGUGAAAUCUCCCGGCUCAACUGGGAGGGUGCGCCGAAUACUGAAUGACUUGGAGUGCGGGAGAGGUGAGUGGAAUUCCUGGUGUAGCGGUGAAAUGCGUAGAUAUCAGGAGGAACACCUGUGGUGUAGACAGCUUACUGGACCACUUCUGACGCUGAGACACGAAAGCGUGGGUAGCAAACAGG
rnacentral:rRNA from 1 species